UCUCCGUUGGUGAACCAGCGGAGGGAUCAUUACAGGACUCGCAAGCCUCCUUACCCCCUGUGAACCUUACUGUGUUCGCGUUGCUUCGGCGGGUCCGCCCGCCGGCAGCCUACCACAUUCUGUUUCUCUGUGUUAGCAUCUCGAGAAAAAAGCAAAUAAGUUAAAACUUUUAACAACGGAUCUCUUGGUUCUG
rnacentral:misc_RNA from 1 species